rnacentral:RNase_P_RNA from 1 species
CGGGGAUCCCGGGCAACUGCCGGCGGCACUCCUUGCGAUUUCCGCCGGAGGAAAGUCCGAACUCCGCAGAACAAUGCGCUUCCUAACGGGAAGGUGCCAAGCUCGGCGGCCUCGUGCCGCCGGGCGAGGCAACGGAAAGUGCAGCAGAAAGACACCGCCGAUGGCCCGUGCUUGCAUGGGAUCAGGUAAGGGUGAAAUGGUGGGGUAAGAGCCCACCGGCAGACGGGUGACCGUCUGGCUCGGUAAACCCCGCAUGGAGCAAGACCAAGCAGGGCGUUGGCUACCCUCGGGUGGCGGACGGCUGUUCGUCGUUCCUCGUCCCCAUACAGGGGCGAACAACGUCCGGGUAGGUCGCUUGAGGUCGAUGGCAACAUCGAUCCCAGAUAAAUGGUUGCCUCCCCCACCCCGGUGGGGAAGACAGAAUUCGGCUUACAGGGGUCUCCGUACU